rnacentral:tRNA from 1 species
AUAGGUUUAAGUUAAAUUAGACUAUUAAUCUUCAAAAUUAAAAGAUAUUCCUGUA